GAUGAACGCUGGCGGCGUGCCUAAUACAUGCAAGUCGAGCGAACAGACGAGGAGCUUGCUCCUCUGACGUUAGCGGCGGACGGGUGAGUAACACGUGGAUAACCUACCUAUAAGACUGGGAUAACUUCGGGAAACCGGAGCUAAUACCGGAUAAUAUAUUGAACCGCAUGGUUCAAUAGUGAAAGACGGUUUUGCUGUCACUUAUAGAUGGAUCCGCGCCGCAUUAGCUAGUUGGUAAGGUAACGGCUUACCAAGGCAACGAUGCGUAGCCGACCUGAGAGGGUGAUCGGCCACACUGGAACUGAGACACGGUCCAGACUCCUACGGGAGGCAGCAGUAGGGAAUCUUCCGCAAUGGGCGAAAGCCUGACGGAGCAACGCCGCGUGAGUGAUAAAGGUCUUCGGAUCGUAAAACUCUGUUAUUAGGGAAGAACAAAUGUGUAAGAAACUAUGCACGUCUUGACGGUACCUAAUCAGAAAGCCACGGCUAACUACGUG
rnacentral:rRNA from 1 species